CUUGCUCUCUUUUAUUUAUUUUUUAAUAUCAUAUAGCGGGAAACCAUUUACCAUAUAUUAGAAAACAGUAAAAUGUUCCUUUAUAAUAAACCUCUUAACUGUUUGCAAAAAUGCAGCUUUCUAUGUUGAACGUCACUGAAAGCAUUGUGGAAUUUUCAUGUAAGUACAUGUUAAAUGCUUUUUAUUCUUUCUUUUAAGGACCACUUUA